CGGCGGACGGGUGAGUAAUGCCUAGGAAUCUGCCUGGUAGUGGGGGACAACGUUUCGAAAGGAACGCUAAUACCGCAUACGUCCUACGGGAGAAAGCAGGGGACCUUCGGGCCUUGCGCUAUCAGAUGAGCCUAGGUCGGAUUAGCUAGUUGGUGAGGUAAUGGCUCACCAAGGCGACGAUCCGUAACUGGUCUGAGAGGAUGAUCAGUCACACUGGAACUGAGACACGGUCCAGACUCCUACGGGAGGCAGCAGUU
rnacentral:rRNA from 1 species